UUCUUAACCGUUGCAAUUUUCUCUCUUUCGUCUUCUUCGAUUUACUUGCUAUAAUUUGUAAUCCUCUAGAUGAUCUGUUGUAAUUCCUGAGUGAAUUUUUUAGGUGCUGUGAAUUAAUGGCAGUACGCCUCUCUUUGUGAGUGGUUUUUUUGUAUCCUUUCAUAGGAUUGAGAGAGUUUGCGAGAGAGAGGAGUGAACUGUUGUGUUAUUCUCUAAUUGACAUUUUUGUUUGUGAUUGAGGCUGUACUAGGGGAUUUGACUGUAAUCCCAAAAGAUGCUUGAGAAGAGAUUAGGUGUUCGAUGCAGUCAUUGAAUCUUUGGAGCCUUAAGCGUAAAAAUCUCCCGCGUUCUUUACUUUUUUAUUGAUUACUUUUGGUUUCUUAUAGUUGGUCAAGUCUUAAUCCACCCAACAAGCACCUUUCCUCUGAUGAAGUUGUACGUAGGGCCAUGAAUUAUUACAGGCUAGACUACUAUGGAGUGGGUGGUGGAGAACAAAUUAAAAUCUAUAACGAUCCGUGGCUCCCUAGUCUAGCUUCUUUUAGGCCUAUCUCAAUCCCUAGAAAUAAUUUGCACAAGGUCUGUGGUCUUUUCUUGACUACCCAGGCUUGGGAUGAGGCAAAAUUCAGGGGACUUGAGUGCCACCAGGAUAUUCUCAAUCCUACGAGCACACUGGUAGACUUAAAAGAUUAAUUUGGCAUUUUGAUUGAAGGAUAUCACAAUCUACAAUCAAGUUACAAGCUAUUGCUACAGAAAAAUUAGUAAGGGAAGUACAACUUUAGCCUGUCUUUGCAGCUGGUAGAACAAACAUAGAAGCAACCCAUGCUACGAAAAAUCGGGAUGCUUGUUGCGGGGCCUAAAAUGAGGCAAUACACGACUAUGCAUAACCUCUGAAGUCAGAAGAUUGCUAGUUCUACCCCAUGUACUUUGCGUGGAGCAAGUGAAACCAAAUCCACACCGUUUUCCAAUGCCCAAAUGCAAAGGUUGUCUAGCAACAUGUCGGUUGACGGGAUUCGUUGAAUUCCUCCUCAGGUGCCAUGAUUUCAAAUGAGUAGUCAAGGGUGCAACUUACAUUAAAUUGGCAGCAGAUUCAGCACGAUUUGUGGGUUAUCGCAUGUAAAGCAUAUAAGAAGAACAUAAUAAAUAGAGUACAAGGAGGAAGACAACGGCAGACUGCUGGGAAUUUUACGUUAUUUCUAUUUACCACUAGAAUAGUUUGUUGUUCAUAAGAAUAUUAACAAACAAGGAAAAAUAAAGAAUAUAAUGCACAACUUAAGUGGACAGUCAAAACUUUU
rnacentral:lncRNA from 1 species